AUGCAUCGUUUUCUAGACCCGUAUCGAAAUAAGCCAAAAAAGUCAACAUUUUUAGAGUUAGACCGAGCUGUUAUGAACCUCAAAUGUGACACCAAUGUGACCUUACUGUAGUGGAGAUGUCGGUCACAGAGGACCUGAAUUUGGAACUGCAGCGAAGGUUGGAAUAAACACUUGUACAAAAAGCUUGCUGUGAUAACGCUGCAUCAAAGAAAUGAGUCAUUACACCGUCUCUGUAGGCCACACUUGAGGUAGCAUGAUGAUCUAUCCAUUCAAGCUUGUCAACUCUGUGCCUAAGUUACAUGUACCUCAAAGCAGACAGGCUGGAGGGCAAUCAUUGCUGAAGGGUGCCCACCGCAAAGUGGAGUCGUGGACUACCGAGAUGAGAUUUGAUAUCAAUGGACUUUUUCCAUUCCCAAAAGUUAUCUUGGGUUAGCCUGAUAGGAUUGGGACCUGCAUUUAGAAGAAACUGUUUUGGAAUACUGGUUGCCUGACAAGUGAAAAGAUAAAACUCUGUAUUCAUUUCAAAAGAUAUGUAAUUUGGUAAUGAGACAGUAAUGUUUUAACAUGUACAUCGAGCCUCAGCAGGAAGUCGAAGUUGAUGAAAGUAACCAUUCCAGUGUCAAUUUUCCAACUCGGUAAACAGCAUUUUGAGAUCAUUCCUAAUUGAACAGAUUUAACUGUUCUAACAUUAUUGACCACUUACAGUUUACUUGUUGUACAGUGCUGUAGUCGAGUCAGUCACAAGUCCAUUGCAAGCCAUCAAGUUGGAAAUCGAAUCAAAUUCUAUUCAGAUGAACACUGAUUUAAAGCAUUUCCACUGUCAAUGUUCUCCGUCGGACUUGUGACUGGACUGCAACACUGGAUAAUUAUGCAAUCACUAACCAUUAACCGCUAGAAAAACUAACCAGUAACCCAUGGAUAUCAUUAAUUUUAAUCCCAAGGGAAAAUGAUAUCAAAAUGCUGAAAAGUGAAAUGCUAAAUACAGGCACUGCUCAGAUGCUUGGGUGCCUGCACAUUUAAAACAAGAAAUCUUCAUCCACGGUGGCCGUAGCCUAAAAGCAGUUUUGUACUUUGCAAAAAGAAAUUACUUGCAGAAUUAACUUUCAUCAGACUUGGCUUGAAGUCCAGCUGGUUGUGGUAACAAAAUAAACUGACUACGGAAAUCUUACAAGUCUGAAAGGGGCAAAUUGAGAAAAAUGAUUUGAGAGAUGUACAAACACAAGCAACCGUACAGUUCCUGUCAUGCGAACAAACAGGAUAGUGGUAUUUGCUAAAAAGAAAUCACUUAACUCCCCCGAAUGGGCCAUCAGCAUGGUCGGUCGCCACAGUGUUAAAUGCAGGCUCCCUGACUUUGGGUUUACACCUGGAUACAUAAAGGAAUGGUAUACAAAGUAAGGACAAACCUUUCAAGAUAGAUUGACUGAAUAAAUCCAGAGAAGCUAGUGUUGGAGAGGAGGAACUUUCAGUCUUCAGGCUAAUAUAUCAUGUGCAAAAGUUUGGACACACAUCCAUGGACUGGACAGAAGGCCCAAAGUUUGCAGGAGGCAAACUGUUCGUCUCUAAAAAGGAAAAGGGACACAAGAAAGAGGAAGAGGACUCGGAUAUCAAAUGGACAAGAGGAAAGAAACCAGAGGAUUUGACAGAGGAAAGAUGAGGCAGUAGUAAGGAAGUAUAACAGAACAUGGCAAAAAUGACUUUUUAUGUCUGGAGCCGGUACACUAUAAAUGGCAACAGCUGGUGUCCUGCUGAGGAGGUACUCUGCCCCAAGGAAUGCACAUGGAGUGUCUGAGAGUGAAGGAGUUCUCUACCCUUGCACGUCGGAGGUCCUGUGCCACUCUACCUGCAGACUCGGGAAAGAAGAGCGUGAUUUAUACUUCUCCUUGGAAGGUGGCAGAGCCCAAGCAGAGGCCUGAUGCAACUCUGCCUGGAGACUAGGGAAGGACAGAUCUGACUCAUAUGCCCAAGGAUUCCUUGUUUGAUUUUCCUCUUACCUUCUCCUGGGAAGGCAGGACUGCCCAAGUAGAGGCCGGGGGGAUUCACGGCUUGCAUGUUCAUAAGGUGAGGUAACCAUUUGUUGUAGGCGUGAACAUGCACAAGACCCCCGGAUUGCAAGGUCCAACUUUGAGAACUCAUGGAAAGGAUUUUGUGUGGAACCGGUGCAAGGUGUAACGUCAGACAGCUCAAGUGGAGGCCGGGGGAACAAGAUUUGCAUGUUCAGUAAGGUGAGGUAACCAUUUUGUUACAGCUGUGGACAUGCACAAGACCUCCCCCCAUCGAUAACAAGAGUCGGGUAGGAGUAACCUUUUUGAUAUCUUUUUAGUGAACCAACCUGGGAAAAUGUCUGUAAAGUGUCAGUUUGGAGCUGGUCGAAUAUAUUUUGAGACUAGAAAUAUUUUCAAGGGAGCAUGCAAUCUCCUGUUUCAAUUUUUCUGCCAAACAUGUUUUCAAAAGGUUUCCAAAUUCCACU